GACGAACGCUGGCGGCGUGCUUAACACAUGCAAGUCGUACGGUAAGGCCCUUUCGUUGGUACACGGGUGGCGACCGGGUGCGUGACACGUGAGUAACCUGCACACAACUUUGGGAUAACGCUAGGAAACUGAUACUAAUACUGGAUAUGUGCUCCUGCUGCAUGGGGGGGGUUGGAAAGCUCCGGCGGUUUUGGCUGGACUCGUGGGCUAUCGGCUUGUUGGGGGGGUAAUGGCCUACCAAGGCGGCGGAGGGUAGCGGGACUGAGAGGGUGACCGGCGAUACUGGCACUGAGAGGCGGCCCAGACUGCGACGGGAGGGCGAAGGGGGGAAGCUUGCACAAUGGGCGCAAGCCGGAUGCAGAAACGCCGCGUGCGGGAUGACGGCCUUCGGGUGGUAAACCGCGUUUAGCAGGGACGAAGCACUUUGUGACGGUACCUGCAGAAGAAGCACCGGCUAACUACGUG
rnacentral:rRNA from 1 species